UUCUCUCAUGCUAUCUCUUUCUUCGCAGCGACACCAUAAAACGGGCGGCUGCUUCCUGACAGUUUUUUACUAGCCCCAUUUUGGCUACCAAAGGCCAAUUUGUAGAGAAACGGACAUACGGACAUCGUUAGUUUGCCCCAAAAACCACACACAUAUGUGGAUUUCUCUUUAUAAACUGAAAUGUACACAUAUACAUACAUACAUACAUACAUACAUACGUAUGUAUACAUACCCCUUACAGUAAUCAUGAAAUUUCUUUCCCACAAUGACUAUGGUUGAUGAGAUGACGCCAAUUGUCGUCGACGCUGAGGAGAUGGGGAUUACCGUAUAUGACCAAAAAUGCGCGGGCGCGCGCUAUGGCCAAAAUUAUGCGCUUAUGGCUUAUAUGGUCUCCAGUGGAGCGCACAGUGGAAAUCAGCAUUAUGUCGCGCUCCUGGGUUAUAUUUGUAGAUCAAGAAUAUACAUUACAUACUAUAUAGAUUGCAUAAGA